UUCGUUAGGAUUGCACUUUUCAUAUAUUGAACUUAUUGAACUUCAUAUAUACGUCAAAAUUAUCAUGUCGUCGGUGUAAUAUUAUGUACAUGAUGAAGAUGAAUUUACUUCAUAUAUAACAGACAAAUAAAGUACAUCUAUACAUGUAUGUAAUGGAUAAUGGAUCAUUUGUUUGACAAAAAAAAAAAAAAAAAAGAAGUAAAGACUCUUGCUUGACGCGUCUUUUCACAGCUACAAAUCUAAAGCAAUCAAAUUUUAAUUACAGCCAAAAUAUUUUCUUAAUUAUUUUUUUGGUUGUACAAAACCAUUUUUCUUAAAA
rnacentral:lncRNA from 1 species